CCUAGGGGAGGCAGCAGUGAGGAAUAUUGGUCAAUGGGCGGAAGCCUGAACCAGCCAAGUCGCGUGAGGGAUUAAGGCCCUAUGGGUCGUAAACCUCUUUUGUCAGGGAGCAAGGUCGUCCACGUGUGGGCGUAUGGAGAGUACCUGAAGAAAAAGCAUCGGCUAACUCCGUGCCAGCAGCCGCGGUAAUACGGAGGAUGCGAGCGUUAUCCGGAUUUAUUGGGUUUAAAGGGUGCGCAGGCGGCGUGUCAAGUCAGCGGUAAAAUGUCGGGGCUCAACCCCGGCCGGCCGUUGAAACUGGCGUGCUCGAGUUGGAGAGAAGUAUGCGGAAUUCGUGGUGUAGCGGUGAAAUGCAAAGAUAUCACGAAGAACCCCGAUUGCGAAGGCAGCAUACCGGCUCCACACUGACGCUGAGGCACGAAAGCGUGGGUAUCGAACAGGAUUAGAUACCCCAGUAGUC
rnacentral:rRNA from 1 species